CUGUCUUAGAAAACACAAUUACCUGUUACAUCUAUUCUUGAUACAAUCUUUUGUGAUUUAAGACUUGCCUAUAAUCACCGUCUCCUUCACUUCUAUUCUCUCCUUGACCCAUUCAUAUCUACUCUACUGAGAAUGUGCGUGUCAAGAUUAUGACUGAUGCUCAAAGCCAAUAUUCCUGCUGUUAUUCAACUUAACCUCUCUGUAGCAUCUGACACUCCCUCCUUCUUGAAAUUUUCAGCUUUUGGUUUCUCCAACAUCACCAUCUACUGGUUUCCUCCCACCUCACUGGCUGUUCCUGCUCAGUCACAUCUGCCAGAUCCUUUCUCCUAGAGUUCCCAGGGCACUAGGUGUACUCCUCUUCCCAGUGUACACAAUUUCCCCAGUUAUCUUAGAAAGUCCAAUGGUUUCAAAACAUUUGUUCUCUGCUGCUUAAUCAUAAACCUACACCUGUAGCCCUGUCUUCUUCCUGGAAUGCCAGUCAUAUAUUUGAUUGCAAAUUUGAUAUCUCCAAUUGGCUAAUAGGUAUCUUAAACUUAAAAUGGACAAAAUAGAACUCUCGAUUUUUCUCAAAAACCUGCUUUCCCCCCAGUUUUCACUGUUUCUGUAAAGGCACCAUCCACCCUAGCAUUAAUGGCAAAAUCUACAGCACAAGUAAAUGAACCAUACCUCCAAAACAUAGCCUAAACCCUUCCACUUCUGUUUCCCCGUUAUUAGCACCCUAAUUCAAGUCACUACCAACUACACUACUGCAAUAGUCUCCUAACUAGUCUUACUCCCAUUCUCCUUCGCUCAACCCACACACAACCAAUUCUUUAUGCCUGAAGUGCAUUACCGUGCCUGUUUAAAAUCCUCUAACAGCCUCCCAUCGUGCUGAUAAAACCCAAGCUCCUGUCUACCUAUCUGAUCUCAAUCUUACCCUUCUUUCCCGACUGCCUGCCCCCCACACCCCACACACAUGGCUGAGUGCCCUUUGAUUUCUCAAUACAAACACUAUGUCAGUUUCACUGGUCUUCUUUCUGCUUUUUAAUACCCAACUCAUUCCCACCGUAGGACUAUUCCCUCUGCUUAGAAUGUGCUUCCUAUGAUCUUUUUAUGGCUGGCUUU
rnacentral:lncRNA from 1 species